rnacentral:lncRNA from 1 species
GCUCUUUCCCAGAGGGUCUGCUGCUUGCCUACCAAGUACAAGGACAAGCAAAUGAUUUGUAAAGAAAGACUAUUAAUGUCCCUCUCCUGCACAAGUACUUCAAGCAUUCUUGCAGGCACCCUUGGAAGCUAACGAGCGCUUCUUUUGGAGUUCUUUCUGGUCACAGGAGCUGAUUUCAGAAUAUUAAAAGCCUAAACAUCAUAGAGGUCAUGGUGGAAGUCAGUGGACACAGUUCACACCAAACAUCUGCUGUGGAUUUCAAAUAGAGGAAUGGCUUGCAGAUGGAGGCACCCUGUCAUGCCAGUCCACUAAUUUAAUCGUGGAUGCUGAAAAUGCUGUCUGGAAGCUUCCAAGGAUGCACCAUACAACAUUUAAGUUGUGGUGUAAUGAUCAUUGAUAUGUUCGUUGUGUUCAGGAGUAAAUAAGGUAAGUGCUUAUAUAUAGGAAACACACAAGGAAAAUAAGGAAGUUACCAAGUCGGGUCAUGGUAAUGUGAGAUGGGAAGACUAUGAAGACACUGGUAUUUAUUCUCUUUAUAGUUUAAAAACAUCAACACACAAGACUGAGGCUUCUUAAAGACAUUUAAUAAAGUUCAAUAUGUACUGAUUGUUCCUUAUCUG